rnacentral:rRNA from 1 species
UGGGGAAUAUUGGACAAUGGGGGGAACCCUGAUCCAGCCAUGCCGCGUGUGUGAAGAAGGCCUUAUGGUUGUAAAGCACUUUAAGCGAGGAGGAGGGUACUGGUAUUAAUACUACCAGGUACUGGACGUUACUCGCAGAAUAAGCACCGGCUAACUCUGUGCCAGCAGCCGCGGUAAUACAGAGGGUGCGAGCGUUAAUCGGAUUUACUGGGCGUAAAGCGUGCGUAGGCGGCUAAUUGAGUCGGAUGUGAAAUCCCCGAGAUUAACUUGGGAAUUGCAUGUGAUACUGGUUAGGUAGAGUGUGGGGGAGGAUGGUAGAAUUCCAGGUGUAGCGGUGAAAUGCGUAGAGAUCUGGAGGAAUACCGAUGGCGAAGGCAGCCAUCUGGCAUAACACUGACGCUGAGGUACGAAAGCAUGGGGAGCAAACAGG